UAUGCGGGGCCACAGGUAGAAGAGGUGGGCUGGGGAGCUAGCCUCCCCAGCGGCAGCUUCACCCACUGCCCAUGACAGCAAGUAAGAAUGGGUCAGCUCCCGCACACCCAGCGCGCACUGCAGUCUCCUUAGGCAGGGGCCAUAUUCACAGGGCCAAAUACGCUGGCGCUGCGCAUUCUGUGUGAGGGAGAGGGUACGGGGGUCUCUGUGGGGAACGAUGACUCUCCUCCGCCGUGAGGCGGGCCAGGCGUCUUGGUAUCCUUUGCUGCCUCCCCUCCGCCCCCUGGGCUGCCGUCAGGCAUAGGGGCACCAGUUGCAUAAUACUGCAUAGGGCACGCUCCUGGUGGCAGCAUUCCAUGUGAUUCUCCCAACCCUCGCAACUCCUCUCACUGCACAGAACAAAAGCUAUGUUGUCACGGAGCAGCAUUAGAUUACGAGUUUCCUUUGGCUGCUCUUCACACAUUUUCCUGAGGAAAGAGAGAGAGUGAGAAGAGGAAAACAGGAAAUACGUGCAGGGUUGUGUGAGAGAGAGAGAGAGAAGUAAGCCAGGGAAAGGGAGAAAGGAAUUAGCAAAGUGGGACUGAAGGACAAGAAAAUUGCAGAAGAAAGUCCUACAGGGAAAAACUCAGCUGAAACCUGAUUCUGAACUUUCUGAUGCUGCUAGAUUACCCUCGCUACAGAACUGCUUAGCCCAUGAUGCCGUUGAUAUUUAUGAUGGACUCCCAGAGCCCAAGUCCUCCUUAGUCACUGAGGCGCUGCACAGCCACAUCAAUUUUGGGACUGGAGAUUCUGUUUUGCUAAAGAGGAAAACAUAUGUUGAAGCUUCCCAGCAGCCCAACAAAACCAUAUGAGAAGGUGGAUAACUGAUGGAUAAUUUUGUGCUUUGGACAAUACUCCUCUACACGGCGUUGUGCUUCAGUAUAUACCAAGGUCAAGAAAUCCAGGAAUUUCCACCUACAUUCCUUAAAGUUUCCAAGAAUUUGCCUCUGCAGCGUUUGUUGGUGGAAUGGGAUGUUAGUGACUCAGCCCACAAGUUUGAACUAGAAAUGGUUUUUGACAUUCAAGUUAGUCGAACUGAAGAAAUGAAUGUUGUCUGGACAGAGUAUUAUAACACAACUCUCAGUAAAUUGAAAAAAACUCUGCACUGGAGUUGGGAUUCAGAAUUACCUUUGGAAUGCAUGUCCCACUCUGUAAGAAUCAGGAGCAUGGUGAAUGAUGAAAGAUUCUCUAAACUCUGGAGUCGUUGGAGUCAGUGGGAGACUGUGCUGGGCCUAGAUACUUCAGAUGACAACACACCAUACAUCUUCCCAGAAGAUAAAGUUGUAGAGGAAGGUUCAAAUGUCACUUUUUGCUGCAUUGGAGGCAAAGAUAACAGAAUUGAGUAUCUUUUGUUUAAUUACACUGAUUAUUAUUACCCAGAUUCAAACAUCAGCCAGCGAAACAUGGUGAUUACUAUGAAGAAGGUGUUGCAUGCAGAAGUGCCUGGCAUUCCUGUCUUUUGUAAAAUCUCUGGUAAAGAAAACAAAAAGUACAGUGCAACGCUUCUCUUUGUGGGCAAACCACCUUAUGAGCCUGAAGAUCUUUCCUGUGACACUCGGGACAUUCGGACAUUAACUUGUACUUGGAAUCCAGGAAAAAAUACCUAUCUUUAUGGGGCUCAUUCAACAAAAUACCACUUGUUUGAAAGGUUUUCCCAAAAAACAUUUUGCUACCAAGAAACAGCACAUUAUCUAGAACCCAUCCAUUGUUCUUGGGCUAUAGACCAGCAGAUGAUAUACAACCUAACACUGACUGCCCAAAACCCUCUUGGAAAGAGAAGUGCUAAUUUUGUCAUUGAUGUAGCUCACAGAGUUCAUCCAUAUCCCCCCUCUGACCUUUCUGUGGAACAUAUGAAAGCCACAGAAGUCAGUUUAUACUGGCGUAUGCAGCCCAAGUACAAAGCAAUUAAGCUGCUAUGUCAGAUUGAAAAUCGCCACCCAAGUGGGCAAGUGGAACUGCACAAUAGUUCACCUGUUCAGUCAAAUUCAUAUCCACACCUCACCCUAAGUGGCUUGCAGCCUUUCACCAAUUACGCCUUUAGAAUGCGCUGUGGUGCAGCUAGCCACUUCUGGAAAUGGAGUGAAUGGAGCAAAACCCUCAGAGUCAGAACAAAUGAAGCAGCUCCCUCAGGGAAACUUGAUGUCUGGAGAGAAGUUACCCCAGUUUUGGGAGGACGGAAUGUGACCUUAUUCUGGAAGCCAUUACCAGACUUCAGAGCUAAUGGUGGAGAUAUUUCAUUUGAGAUAACCUGGGAAAAGUUAAAGAAAGCCUCUGAGCCUGAACACAUCUCCAUUUCUGCAUUACAAAACAGUACAACAAUUUCCAUCGAUAACCAUUCCUACAAAAUCAGCGUGGUAGCAAGGAACAAUAUUAAUUUUUCACUUCCUUCAGUGAUGAUCAUCUCCCGAGCGACAGAUAAUGGUGCUGAAGAAAAGGUUGAUCGCACUGACCUUGAAGAAGAAAGAGUUAAUGGCACAGUUGAUGGCAUUUAUAUUUCUUGGAAGGCCACAAAUGCAUUUGAUGGAUACAUUGUCGAUUGGUGCAACUUUCCGAGGUCCCAGCAUUGUGACUUUCAGUGGAAGAGAUUCGAUUUCAACACCUCCAGUUGUUUUAUCAACUCAGCUUCUUUCAUGCCUGGGGUCAGAUACAACUUCAGGGUUUAUGGAUCUCUAGCUAAUGAAGAUUUUUUCCUGGGGAAGAAGGUUGGGUACACCAAAGAACUGGCUCCUAGACUUAACCCUCAAGGGGAAAUAGCUGAGAUGACUUCCCACACUGUGACCGUAACUUGGGAUUCUUAUCCCGUAAAUGAGUCACAGCCUGGAUUCAUAAGAGGUUAUCAUGUUUAUGUGAAAACCAUGGAAGAAGAAUGCAGUUUGAAGGGAUCCGCAAAACAUGCUCUUUCAGAUGGUUCAGUCCUAUGUAAAUACACUAUAGAAAACCCAGAAGAAAAGAGAUACGUGGUGAAACACCUGAUGCCAGAAACAACAUAUGCACUGGCAGUUAAAGCUUACACUGGAGGAGGAGAGACCCCCAUUGAUGCCUAUAUAAACGUAGAUACACUACAUGACUCAAAGAUUUACCUUCCAGUUCUGCUAGUGAUCAUUCCUUUUGUAGUAAUAACUGCUGUGUGCUUCUGGAAAAUCAAGUGGGUGAAGGAUUGCUGUUAUCCUGAAAUUCCGAAUCCUAACAAGAGCCAAGUCCUCUCAUUUAAUGGAUUAAAGCUUAAUUCUGAAGCAGUACUGAAGCUAAGUGACUGCAUUCCUGAUACUGUAGUAUUGGAGAAUACAUCAGAAGCCAAUACACUACAGCUGUGGAGCCAUGGGAAUAUUUUAGAAAGUGAAAGCAAAGUUAUCAAUCCUUCCUGGGUGUAUUUUAUUCAAAAUGAAGUGGGAAAUUUGAUGUGCACACAGUCAGCUCCAGAAGCUUGCACUUCAUUUGAAAACUUAGCCUAUUCUUCCCAGACUGCACUUGGUUCCAGCCUCUAUCAGAACCUGUGGAUGUCAGAAAAGAGUGAGCCACAGUUGUCUAUCUUGUUGUACCAGCCACAGCAUUACAUUGAAAUUCUGAGUAAAGACACUGUCACAUCAUUAAGAGAAAUCACUGAGAGAGAAGGUAGUUUGAGAUAUAUUUCACAAAUGGAAGUACCUUGUUCUGAGGCUAAGUUGAGUGAUUUGCCCCAUUCCACUGAGCCCAUGGAACAUUCAAGUUACAAAAUACAAACAGUCUUGGGUUCAGAGCUGGUCACAUCUACAUCUGAUGAAGGCAUUCAGAGUCAGGACAGCUCUACUUCUAGCAACUCAACAGCGUUAUUGCUUCCAGGCCGGCAUUAAAAACUGACCUGCACAUUUAAACAAUCCGUAUGCUGCAGUUCAAUCAGAAAUUAAGGGCAUUAAGCAGGAAUUACAGGGUGAGAUGGUAUGGCCUGUAGUAUCUACACAUUCAGAUCACAGCUGUCUCUUCUGGCCCUAAAAUCUAUGAAUGCGAGAGAUGAGAUGCACCAUGAUUUGUGCAAGGUCACUAAACUACAACAGAGAACAUUUUCAUUCUCUGAUCACAGCCAAGGGACACCCUUCACAUGUAUUAUCCGGCAUGGACUUAUUGCAUUGCUGACGCUAGCAUAGAAGGCAUGUAUUGUGAACCUCAGCAUGGAACAUUACUCCUAACUUUGAACUCCCUGGCUUUGAUUGGUUGGGGUCAGAAUGUUAGUUAACUGUGUUUUUUAUUUAAUUUUCCACAUAACAGUAAUAAAAAAAAAAUAGCCCCCAGAAUGAAGGCUUCAGCUGAUCUUUCAUGGCAAAGUGCUUAAAGGAAUUUAUUGUGGUACACAACACUAGCUGCACCUUUGACCCUUCUCUGGGCUGUCUGAGUGCACCCCUUCAGGUGCUAGGCCCCAUGCCUUCACCACCUGCCUCUAGGGGGGAAUCCCAUGAUUCUCUCACUCUAAGACUGAAUCUCAGGCAACAGCCCUCCUUCUGUGUACCAAUCAUGAUUGCCCAACUGGGUUCAGCCUUGCAAACCCUGCAGCAACUCUGAUCAGAAGUGAAUAUCAGGACCCAGAAUGGCCUUUUCAGAAACAAAGGAUUGUUUCAUCUCAACAAUAGAAACAAAGCAUAACAAGAGCAAGGGUGUUUUAACACAAGAAUUACAUACAUCUCAAUCUUACCUAAGCUUAGGGCCCAGGCACCCUCACUUCUGACUGCUGAGUUCAGUCUGCAGCCCAGCCCUGGUCUACAUUACGAGUUUAGGUCGAAUUUAGCAGCGUUAGAUCGAUUUAACCCUGCAGCCGUCCACACAACAAAGCCAUUUUUGUCGACUUAAUAGGCUCUUAAAAUCAAUUUCUGUACUCCUCCCCGACGAGGGGAUUAACGCUGAAAUCGACAUCACCGAGUCAAAUUUGGGGUAGUGUGGAUGCAAGUCGACAGUAUUGGCCUCCGGGAGUGCUCCAUUGUGACCGCUCUGGACAGCACUCUCAACUCAGCUGCACUGGCCAGGUAGACAGGAAAAGCCCCGCAAACUUUUGAAUUUCAUUUCCUGUUUGGCCACCGUGGCAAGCUGAUCAGCACAGGUGACCGUGCAGAUCUCAUCAGCAGAGGUGACCAUGGAGUCCCAGAAUCGCAGAAGAGCUCCAGCAUGGACCAAACGGGCGGUAUUGGAUCUGAUUGCUGUAUGGGGAGACGAAUCUGUGCUAUCAGAACUCUGUUCCAAAAGACGAAAUGCCAAUAUAUUUUCAAAAAUCUCCAAGGGCAUGAAGGACAGAGGCUUUAACAGGGACCUACAGCAGUGCCGUGUGAAACUUAAGGAGCUCAGGCAAGCCUACCAAAAAAACCAAAGAGGCAAACGCCCACUCGGGGUCAGAGCCCCAGACAUGCCGCUUCUAUGAUGAGCUGCAUUCAAUUCUAGGGGGUACCCCUACAACUACCCCACACCUGUACGUGGACUCCUGCAAGGGAGUCUCAUGCAACAGGGAUCUGUUAACGUGUCUGGGGACGGAGCGGAAGUCCUCCAGUGACAUCUCAAUGAAGCUCUCCUGGAGCUGCAAAUGUUUCAACGCUGCCACUAGCAUCUCCAUCCCAGAGGCUAGCGCAGAUAAGAAGCCGAAAAAAACGUACUUGCACCGAAAUGUUCUCUGAGCUCAUGCAGUCCUCCCACACUGAAAGAGCCCAGCAGAAUCUGUGGAAGCAGACAAUGUCAGAGUCCAGGAAAGCACAAAAUGAACAUGAGGACAGGAGGAACACGUGAAAGGACAGAUGGCUGGAGCAACAGGAGAGGUGGCAGCAGUGUGAUGAGAGGAGGCAGGAUGCAAUGCUGAGGCUACUGGGGGAUCAAACUGAUAUGCUCUGGUUGAACUGCAGGAAAGGCAGCAGGAGCACAGACCGCCACUGCAGCCCCUGUGUGAUCAACUGCCCUCCUCCCCCAAACGCCCAAGAACGCAGUGGGGGUGGCCCUCCGGGCACCCCACCACUCCACCCCAGAGGACUGCCCAAGCUACAGAACGCUGGCAUUCAAUAAGUUUUGAAGUGCAGUGUGGCCUUGUCCUUCCCUCCUCCCCCACCCCACCCGGGGCUUCCCUCCUGGCCCACCCCUCCCAGGCUACCUUGGCAGUUAUCCCCCUAUUUGUGUGACGAAUUAAUAAAGACUGCAUGAAUUUG